rnacentral:tRNA from 1 species
GGGUUUGUAGCUCAGCUGUUUAGAGCACACGCUUGAUAAGCGUGGGGUCGGAGGUUCAAGUCCUCCCAGACCCACCA